AAUUACUUUUUUUUUUUUUUUUUUUUUAGUUGGGGCUCAAAUUUUAAUCUACCUUUGGAUUCCUUAAUUUGGAAACUGGAGUGGAUUCAAAACGAGACUCCAGGAAUUGAGAGUCACAACCUACCAGAGCAGCCAGAACACAGCACUAAUCGUGGGAAGCAAAGGACAGAAAGAUUCCUGAGACCCAGCAAAAUGCCAAGCAAGAAGCAAGAAACAGCUGGCUGCCCAGACUGUCCCAGGACCGUGCUGGUGAUGGAAAGGCUCUCUGUGGGCUUCUUUCUUACCAUCCCCUUGAUAGACUGCAGUUGUCAGAGGGAAAGACAGGCAGGCAUCUCAUAGGAAAGUCUUUCAGUGUAAAGAAAAGCCACCCAUCAGCAGCAGCUCACAGGGACAGCAAAAUGCCCAACUUCUUGGCAUUUGGGAUUUUCCAGGAAAGAUAGGCUAACUUGAAAACAAAGUCUGUUUUUAGGAUAUGUGCAAGUGCCUUCAGGGAAGCUGUUUGGGUGAAGUAGGUGUUCCCCGCCCCAAAUAGCUGGUUUGUUUGGUGAGCUGUAGGGGCAUAUUGGGUGCAGCUAAAUUGAUCUGAACAAUUUUCAAUCUUACAUCAUAAAAAAUAGUAUGGAGCAAAGCCUUCUGCCUUUAGGGAAUGAAGUACUCAUUUCUCAAUUGGUCAUUGAGAGUUAACAGCAGAUUGAGUGAGCAACCCCUGAAAAGAGGAGACAUUGGCUUAAUUCCGUGUUGUUACAGAGCUCAGCAUGCAGGUUGAUAUACACAGGGAGAGGUUGGCAGGCAGCUCCUUCACAUAAUAAUAUUCAUUCUUCUGAAUGGCUCAUUAAUAUUGUAUAUAUUCCUCUUUGGCCGUGCCCUCAUGUCUCCUCUCUGGACUGAGUCAGGCUCCCAGGACUCAGAGGUAAAAAAGAAGAGAAAGGAUAGAUGUGGAUUUUCAUGGAGUCGACGGCAGGCUGCUGUUUAUGACAGCUCCACGGCCAUGAAAAAUGUCAAGGAAACAAAAUAGGAAGACAAAUCCGUGGCAGGAAUUGGUUUCGGAUAACCAGUCAGCUGAUUAUCUCCUGAGUCUACGCCCCGUGCAUCUUGGUAGGUGUGUCUGUUUCAGAUCCAGGCAGUAACUCAUCAUUAUAGCGUCUUUCGUUCUCCCAACCCCUCACCUCCUGCAGUAGGAAAGUUUAUAUGCACAAGCCAUUUUGUCUUUGCCAUCUAAUUACCUGAAGACUAAGAGGAGCAUACUUAUUUGGGCCAAAAAAAGUACAGCCCUCAGAGGAAAAUGCACUAGACCUUGGCCUUGAAGGUGACAGGGGCUGGGCGGGUGGUGAGGGGCUUG
rnacentral:lncRNA from 1 species